UCUAGAACUCAAGUUUUGAACUGAAAACCGAACAGUAUCUGAGCUGCAGGACAGAUUCUGACUUUUCUAUUGUUGCUAAGAUUUGAACUUGAAAACGGCAGAAUUGAGUCUUAGACUCCGCAUGAAAGUUUUAGGUCUAUGUCUUAGCUUUCCAUC
rfam:Populus trichocarpa scaffold_1_contig_560, whole genome shotgun sequence.